rnacentral:lncRNA from 1 species
UGUAUUCUUCGAGUUAAAAGGAAAUACCUGCAGAGGCUCCAUGUUCCUUGCUCAGCAGAACAUCAUUCAUUUUGAUUUGGUUAGAACUUUGUGUAGAGGUCGUUUUUAAUUUUAAAAAUAAAAUAAAGAGCUACAGGAGAGCUGUUGAUGCAGGAGAAGUUCAACAAUGAGCAUUCAGCCUCUAAGGAAGUUUUAUUUAAAGUGUACAGUCACAAAAUGGUGUGGGCACAGGGUGAGGUGUCACUCCCAACGUCACCAAAUGGUGGGUAAGCCAUUGUUUUCUAAAUGUUUCUCCACACAGAAAACGUGACAGACGGGUAGAGGCAAUUGGAUUCAUCUCAACUUAGUCCAGCAGACAGUUUAGUUCUGAAAGAUACACCUAGCAAUUUUCACAGUGAUUUCUGUCUGAACCAAAAUUGGCAGCCAUUUCAUAGAACUGCUAUCUGGGUGGGUAUAGUAGGACAAUUAUUGCCUGCACCUAACCACAGAUAUGAAAGGAAAGGAAAGUGGACAUCUAAUUUCCCUGAGAAAUUUUUGUCUCAUCUGUCAUUUUCUGAGUCCCUAGAGAAAAGCAAUGCAUGCCAUAUGAGAGCAUGGGAAAUACUUUGUGCUGUUGUUUUAAAGCCAACCUUUUUGUCCUCUGCAUUUAAAAAAGUGGAACCUAUUUAAAAUGGCAUGGAUAUGUUGCAAGUAUUCAAUUACCUUUGCAGGUCAUUCUCUAAAAAUGGAUUUUAUCCCUAGCAUCAUACCUAUACAUGCUCUGAGUCAGCAUGAGUGGUGUGAGUGACAACUUUUCCCCACAUAAUGGACUGGAGCGGUGGAGAAGGACCUCUCUCUCUCUCUCUCUCUCUCUCUCUCUCUCUCUCUCUGUAUUUGUGUGUGUGUGUGUGGACUAUUCUGCUGUUUCCAGCUUAAAAAUACUAAUUGCUAGAGGAGCACAGCAGGGGAGUGCAUAGUUAGGAAUAGUGAAUCUGACAUCACAGAACAGUAUUUCAUAGACUGUGGGCAUCAAGAGAUUCUUCUCACAGGUCAAUCCUAAAAAGCUGAGCAGAGCCAGCUCUGCCAUUAGUCAGAGUGAGGCAGCUGCCUCAUUCAGCAGAAGCCCCCGAGGCAGCAGCAUCAUGGCUGUGCUGUCUGCCCCACCACCGGUGCAUAAGCGGCACUGGUAUUGGCUGAAAUCACACAAGAUCUUAUAGAGCAUGCAAUAUCUCAUGCAAUUUUGCUGAGAUCUCAUCCAAAGUGGACAAGCUCUCACCCGAAACUGAUGCCGAUGGCAAUGCCUCUUCUCUGCCAGUGGCAGAGGCGGCAGAGGUGACGGGGCAGGCAGAGAAGCGGUGCCAGCAGCUGCAGGUAUGGAAGCACUGGCGGCGGCAGCAGCAGAACAAGGCAGCAAUUCCUGUUUUGCCUCAAGCAGCAAAACAGGAGGUGCCGCCCUGGAUCUGAGCAUCUGCGGUGACAUGAACAGUACUUUGCUCAGUAACAGCAACUGCCUAGGACUGGGAAGGGCAGUGCUGUCCUAGCAACUGGGAUAUUCACUAUUAAGAAGAAAAGCUUUCUCUGAAAGCCCUUUUGGAACUGCAAGAACACCCAAACAAGCAUGCAAUGGGUUUGUGGAGGAAAAUGUUGAUUUAAGCAUGUUAGGUGCUGACUAAUCAAUGGCAGGGCAUCUGGAAAAUACAUUGCAACAUAUGGAAGGGCAAUUCUAAUCCAUGUUAAUGAUUUUGGGUGCUAAGCAUGUAUUAAACAAUGACAGUGAAACAGACCUUCCAAGUGUCCCUAUUUUUCAGGGACGUCCCUGUUAGAGAAGCCGUCCCGGUUUCUGAUUUGAUCCUGGAAUGUCCUGCUUUCCCUUAGGACGUCCCUAUUUUCAUUAGAGAAAUACUGGAGGGUAUGGUAGGAUGCUCCUAUUUUCAAUGGAGAAAGCUGGAGGGUAUGGAGUUAUCCGACCUACGAGCCGUCUGAAGGCAAUCUUGUAUAGGGAAGUUUUUAAUUUUUUUGUUGUUUUAUUAUGUAUUUAUAUAUGUUGGAAACUGCCAAGAGUGGCUGGGGCAACCCAGUAAAAUGUGUGGAGUAUAGCUAGUAAAACUAUUAAUAUGGAAUGGGACGUCCCUGCUUUCAUUGGAGAAAUGUUGGAGGGUAUGGUGAAACAGUGAUGGUAGAGCUAGAGUUGGGGGUGUUUAGUUCAGAUUAGUUCAUACAAAAAUAAUACUGAAAAUCUGCUAGGGAAAUGAUGCUCUGCCUAAGAAACUAAUCUCUCUCCUUCUGCCUGCUCCAUUAGUUACAGGACUAAAUUUGAUAUAAAAUGGGAAAAGAGGGAGGACCUGAGUUUGCAUUGGUUGCUGGGGAAUAAGCAUCCCAUUACCUAUCACAGGUUUAUAGAUGACUCUCACCAUUGUAGCUCAUAUGCUUAUUACUACUCUGGCAAUGCCUGCGAAGUUGCAUUAGGAAGAAUGGCAGUGCAUCAGACACAGUCUUUUUAAAACAUUACUGGAACAUCCUAUCCCUCAAAAUAUAGCUGCAAAAAAUAUCCAUUGUGGAAAGACAUGUGUCUGUGUCAAAUGCUUCUUUAGGGAAGCUAUGCCUCUUGCAGAGCAGCAACACACAUGUGCAAACAGAGGAAGCAGAAAACACACACACACAACCCCCCACUGCUAUUCUUACAAGUGUUCUGUGUCUCUCAGAUGCUGAGGCUGCAGAAACAGUAGAUGGUGCUGUGGGAGUGUUCCUGGAGAUACAAGGGAGUGAUUGUUUUUCAGCUGUAACAAAUGCUGGCAGCUAGGAUGUCCUUCCCACUACAAGUGGGCCUGGUAAUGGAUGGACAUUGGGAUCCCAUGCUUUGAGACAGAUGAUAUAUUUCCAGGUUUCUCCUAGUCCUGAGCAGGCAUGCUGAUCUUCUUUCUAUCUUUCCAUUUUUAGUUUGUGCUGCCAAAAUGAGCACAAUCCAAGCCAACAAUAUAAUCUUCUUCACUGGAUUUUGCAUUGAACAUUUUCCCCCCAUAGCAGGCCUUCCACAUUGUCACUAUUGUGUUUGGGUUGGAAGAUGUUCUCAGUUAUGGAGCAAUGUGGUUUUAAAAAAUACAAACAUGCUAAAAAAUAAACAGUUUCUCUUCUCCACAUGCCACAAGUCCACUUUUUAUGUACCCACUAGCAGUGCAACCUAGUCAUGGCUGAAGUGCAAACACAAAGAUUCCAGAAGGGUUAGAGUUGCCAAUUUUUGUCCUCAAAGAAUCUGCCACCUUGAGGUAAUCACCUCUAAACAUGUCCAGAGUUCGUUUUCUCUAUGGAAAGAAUCUGACCUUGCUUCCAUUGCCAGAAGCUACCUGGUCAUCAGUCAUUAGAUCUGGUAUUCGGUAUCUGUAUUUGUUUGUUGUUAUGUUAUGUAUUUUGUGUUUUUAUAAUGUAAACCGUCCUGUGAUCAUUGGAUGAAGGGUGCUACAUACAUACAUACAUAUAUACACCACUUCUGUUUUCCUGCCCAGGGCAAAGUAGCCACACAACUGCAUUACAGGCCAAGAAGCAGCCUGGAAUAAGAUCAAGAGGCUUGGACUCUCUUUUAGGUGGUUGCUUUGGCUGGUAAACCAAUGUUCACACUUGGUUCACACUUGUUGUAGAAUAAUUAUUUUUAUUUUUACCCUGCCCAUCUGGCUAGGUUUCCCCAGCCACUCAUCAGAUGUGACCUGCAAACAGUAUCAGCCACUUUCAUACUUCUCUUUUUAAUGGUUUGAUCUUAUGUGGUAGCAUCAUGCACAUACAUACACCUUCUGAACACAUAAAUGCCCUAUAUACAAGCACUCAGGUACUCCCCACACAGUGCUUUUGUGUUAAUGUGUUUAUUGUGAUAGCUCAGCUAUAUGUAUCAAUAGGAAAAGUGGAGUGGGGGGAAGGUCUUCUGGAUUUUUUUCUCCAGCUCUGCAUCGUUCAGUUAUGAUAAGAAGAUAAAAUGAUGGCCCAGCUCAAGAAAUUCUAGCCUGCUGGGAACCCUAAAAAAAGAAUGUGAGACUUAACCCCUUAUGAUUCAAACCUCAUUUAUUAAAUAUGUGUUAGCCCUUAUUAGUAUGCUCCCUUCAGUUCUAAUGAUUUAAAAAAAAAACCUCAUGUACUUCAGUUUCAGUUUCAUAGAAUAUAAUCAUAGAGGUGGAGGCAGAAGAGUUUUCUAUCUGAUUUGCAAUAAGUUCUCCCUGUUCUCUGGAUGUGCAAUGCAAACAGGCAAAUCAUUUGGUCACCUACUGACCCAUGAAACACGGGUGCACUUCAAAGAGGAGUGCUGUACUCUGCAAUAAAGAUUAGUUUCAGAGCAGCCAGAAAGAAAGAAAGAACGAAAGAAAGAAAGAAAGAAAGAAAGAAAGAAAGAAAGAAAGAGCAAAGUACAAUGAGUGCAGUGCUCAGGGACAAGUUUGAAUGAAUGUUCUCUUAUACUAUAGCUGGACAUCUCUAAGCACUAAAAGUGCAGGUCAUUUGGAAAUGUUCAUUUUAACACCAAGUCCAACUGUGUCUAGGGUCAUUGCAAGUCAAUAGAAGG